rnacentral:rRNA from 1 species
UGCAAGUCGAGCGGUAACAGGGGAAGCUUGCUUCCCGCUGACGAGCGGCGGACGGGUGAGUAACGCGUAGGAAUCUACCAAGUAGUGGGGGAUAAGCCAGAGAAAUUUGGUCUAAUACCGCAUACGUUCUUCGGAAGAAAGGAGGGGAUCUUCGGACCUUUCGCUAUUUGAUGAGCCUGCGUGAGAUUAGCUUGUUGGUGAGGUAAUGGCUCACCAAGGCGACGAUCUCUAGCUGGUCUGAGAGGAUGAUCAGCCACACUGGAACUGAGACACGGUCCAGACUCCUACGGGAGGCAGCAGUGGGGAAUAUUGCACAAUGGGCGCAAGCCUGAUGCAGCCAUGCCGCGUGUGUGAAGAAGGCCCUAGGGUUGUAAAGCACUUUCAGCAGUGAGGAAAGGUUAUAAGUUAAUACCUUAUAACUGUGACGUUAACUGCAGAAGAAGCACCGGCUAACUCCGUGCCAGCAGCCGCGGUAAUACGGAGGGUGCGAGCGUUAAUCGGAAUUACUGGGCGUAAAGCGCGCGUANGUGGAUUGGUCAGUCAGAUGUGAAAGCCCAGGGCU